rnacentral:misc_RNA from 1 species
GUAUAGGUUUAAUGACUGCGGCUAGCACAAUCUUUAAAAGACAUUCUGUAACUUUAAUAGUGUAUAUGAAAACGUAGCCCCUCUGAAAAAGAGCAAAAGCAGAUUGCCUCUGCUCGCUCUUUUUCAGAAAAAGACUACAAAAGGUGCACAAGAGAAGAUAAAUAGAUGGACGUGCACAUGCUCAGUGAAGAGCCAGCAACAGUGCCAACGUAUUCAAUAAUGAUCCUUCCGCAGGUUCACCUACGGAAA